UUCGGCAAGUGCUUAGCCAUUGCGUCACCAGGGCUUCUUAAUAUGAAACGGUUGAAUACAAAUAGUUCGAGACCUGAAGCUAUGGGAUUGAAUGGGACAAACAAGGGUCAGCAGACUAUCUCAACAGCAUUUGAAUGAAAUUAGGGACUAUGUCAAGGACUGCAUCGUAUCCCCAGCUCCCUGCAGAAAAUCUAGCCCUUGGUAAGUGUUCAGUAAAUAUUUGUAGAUCUAAUGAAUGACUCCUUCUAUACAGUUUCUUAUGCAGAUUAGAUUACUAUUUUCUCUACCACACUUUCCCACCUUUUAUUUUAGCAUCUGAAAAAUAUGAUUACUUAUGUAAUUUGACUACCGUGGAAAUUCUGGCAGGGGGCAGUGUGUCCCUCACUGGUGUGCCUGUGUCUUGAUGAGGGCAGAGAGACAAUAGCAUUGAGAAAGAGAGUAUUUCUGGCUAUAAACCAAAAAAACCAAACCCACUGCUGUCAAGUUGAUUCAGACUCAUAGCGACCCUAUAGUAUGCAAGUAAUUGAGAACCACAUGGUAAU